ACUCCUGCGGGAGGCAGCAGUGGGGAAUAUUGGACAAUGGGCGCAAGCCUGAUCCAGCCAUGCCGCGUGAGUGAUGAAGGCCCUAGGGUUGUAAAGCUCUUUUGUGCGGGAAGAUAAUGACGGUACCGCAAGAAUAAGCCCCGGCUAACUUCGUGCCAGCAGCCGCGGUAAUACGAAGGGGGCUAGCGUUGCUCGGAAUCACUGGGCGUAAAGGGUGCGUAGGCGGGUCUUUAAGUCAGGGGUGAAAUCCUGGAGCUCAACUCCAGAACUGCCUUUGAUACUGAAGAUCUUGAGUUCGGGAGAGGUGAGUGGAACUGCGAGUGUAGAGGUGAAAUUCGUAGAUAUUCGCAAGAACACCAGUGGCGAAGGCGGCUCACUGGCCCGAUACUGACGCUGAGGCACGAAAGCGUGGGGAGCAAACAGGAUUAGAUACCCCAGUAGUCCCAU
rnacentral:rRNA from 1 species